GCUUGGCUGCGAGUCCCUUCACUCCUUUGGGGGUCACAUACUUAGGGUUCACAGCAGUGAAGUAGCAACAAAGAGAUUUUACAUUGGAGGUCACCACAACAUGAAAACCGUAUUAAAGGGCUCCGUUGGGAUACCAAGGUAGUUCUGUAUGGUGAAGAAUGGACUCUGGGAUGGGUGCUGCUCAGUGGUAGACAUUUUUUGGACAUGAAUGCAUAUUGAAUGCUCGGCCAAUACCCUUUACAUGCCAAACCCCCUUUAAAAGUGAAUCCAGACUAAUCUUAAAUCAGCCAGCCAGUCCAAGUUGGCCACUCCCUCACGACACUUUUCAGUUGCGCUCAAUUGGAAAAAGACUUUCUUAGUAGCUGUUUAUUGAUCAAUAGUUUAAUAUAAAGAGAUUUUAGAUCUUCAGAUUUUUGCCCAGACAGAAUCACAAGCAUUACAAAUAUUCUCUUCUUUUAAAAAAAGGUGGGGAAGGGGAUGAACCAGAAGGAGAUUGAUCUAGAAGUAGUGACAUUUGAAAAUAAAUUAACAAAAAAAAUUUAGUAUUCUCAUUUAUUGGUGACAAAGACUAAGUUUCCUUAUAUUCCAUGGGUGAAAAGGUCCAGCUAAACCCCGAGUGGGAGCAGCAGGGUUGCACUCAGAGCCACAAUGCUCCACACCAGGCCGGCAGACCUUCCUGCCUCUGUGCACACUAGCACAGCACCAGGAAACCUGUCGCCCUUCCCUACGUGGAGGCUGGGAUUGACUGUAUUGGGCCCUCCAGGGACACCAGCCCAUAGUCUUCUGGGCCCACAGGUAAUGUCCUGUAGUGUGUAGAAAAAGCCACCUUGAGCAAUACUCCCUCAAGUGACCUCCCACUGGCAAUCUGUUACAAUGGGUGACAACCUCUCCCGUUGACAAUCUGUUAUAACUGGUAAAGGUCAGGCUCACUUUUAAGUAUGCUGCUUAAAAAUAAAGUUAAAAAGGACCAAAUCUUUUGAUCUCCUAAAGUUUAAAAGUCCUAAGCUGUCCAAUUUAUACAAGGGGUUGGGAGUCAAGGAUUCUUGUGGUUAAGUCCAGAACUGCCAGCCGAGCCAGAGGCACAGAAUGCAUCACCAAACAGGGCUGUGGUCUUUGCCAGUUACAUAGCUGGAUAGCAUCUGUCUCAGACUAGUUUCUAAACUGCUAGGUAAGUAGAUGCAACUGAGAAACUGAAAUGAAAAUUACAUAGUGUCAUCUCAACCAAAGGGAAUAAUGGAACUAACAGGCAUCCAUCACUGUUGAAGAGAAAGCAGUGGUUACGGUGGGUGCUACGUGUGGCAGAGUUGCGUCAGUCAUGUAGGAAGCACUGGUUUUUCUCUGGUGCGUUUAGCUCCGGGGCCGCUGUAAGGCCUCUCUGGUGUGGCUGUCCCGGUUUUCCAAAGAAUCUGAAGAAGCCAGCGUGAGAGUUGGCCACGCUCUCCGUUUCUCUGUCACGAGGC
rnacentral:lncRNA from 1 species